GAACGCUGGCGGCGUGGAUAAGACAUGCAAGUCGAACGAAUUUAUUGCUGUAGCAAUACAGUGGUAAGUUAGUGGCGCAAGGGUGCGUAACACGUGGACAAUCUGCCGGGAAGUGGGGGAUAACUCUUCGAAAGUUGAGUUAAUACCGCAUGUGAUCAGAGGUGACAUCACCUUGACAUCAAAGCUGGGGCAACCUGGCGCUUUCUGAUGAGUCCGCGGCCUAUCAGCUAGUUGGUGAGGGUAACGGCCCACCAAGGCAUUGACGGGUAGCUGGUCUCAGAGGACGACCAGCCACACUGGAACUGAGACACGGUCCAGACACCUACGGGUGGCAGCAGUCGAGAAUUUUUCGCAAUGGGGGCAACCCUGACGGAGCGACGCCGCGUGGAGGAUGAAGGUCUUCGGAUUGUAAACUCCUGUCAUUUGAGAACAAGUGCCAUUCAGUAACUACGGAUGGCUUGAUAGUAUCAGAAGAGGAAGAGGCGGCUAACUCUGUGCCAGCAGCCGCGGUAAUACAGAGGCCUCAAGCGUUGUUCGGAUUCAUUGGGCGUAAAGGGAGCGUAGGCGGUAGGGUAAGUCGGGUGUGAAAUCCUGGGGCUCAACCUCAGAACUGCAUUCGAUACUGCUCUGCUAGAGGUAUGGAGGGGAGAUUGGAAUUCACGGUGUAGCAGUGAAAUGCGUAGAUAUCGUGAGGAAGACCAGUGGCGAAGGCGGAUCUCUGGACAUUACCUGACGCUGAUGCUCGAAGGCCAGGGGAGCAAACGGGAUUAGAUACCCCGGUAGUCCUGGCAGUAAACGGUGCACGCUUGGUUUGAGAGGAUUCGACCCCUUUCGAGCCGGAGCUAACGCGUUAAGCGUGCCGCCUGGGGAGUACGAUCGCAAGAUUAAAACUCAAAGAAAUUGACGGGGGCCCGCACAAGCGGUGGAGUAUGUGGCUUAAUUCGAUGCAACGCGAAGAACCUUACCUGGCCUUGACAUGCAUCUCUAAGUUGGUGAAAGCCAGCGAGUGUAGCAAUACACAAUUUGCACAGGUGCUGCAUGGCUGUCGUCAGCUCGUGUCGUGAGAUGUUGGGUUAAGUCCCGCAACGAGCGCAACCCCUGUGAACUGUUGCCACCUGACCUUCGGGUCAGAGCACUCUGUUCAGACUGCCCUGUGAAACGGGGAGGAAGGUGGGGAUGACGUCAAGUCAGCAUGGCCCUUACGGCCAGGACUGCACACGUACUACAAUGCCCGGUACAGAAGGAACCGAAACCGCGAGGUGGAGGAAAUCACUAAAACCGGGCCCAGUUCGGAUUGGAGGCUGCAACUCGCCUCCAUGAAGCCGGAAUCGCUAGUAAUGGCGCAUCAGCUACGGCGCCGUGAAUACGUUCCCGGGCCUUGUACACACCGCCCGUCACAUCAUGGAAGUUGUUUGUAGCCGAAGCCGGCGCGCUAACCCUGCAAAGGGAGGCAGCUGUCGACGCUAUGAGCAGUAACUGGGAUGAA
rnacentral:rRNA from 1 species